CAACCUGGCGGCGAGCGGCGAACGGGUGAGUAAUGCAUCGGAACAUGUCCAUGUCGUGGGGGAUAGCCCGGCGAAAGCCGGAUUAAUACCGCAUACGUCCGAGAGGAGAAAGUGGGGGACCCGCAAGGGCCUCACGCGAUUGGGUUGGUCGAUGUCCGAUUAGCUAGUUGGUGAGGUAAAGGCUCACCAAGGCGAUGAUCGGUAGCUGGUCUGAGAGGAUGAUCAGCCACACUGGGACUGAGACACGGUCCAGACUCCUACGGGAGGCAGCAGUGGGGAAUUUUGGACAAUGGGGGCAACCCUGAUCCAGCCAUUCCGCGUGAGUGAAGAAGGCCUUCGGGUUGUAAAGCUCUUUUGUCCGGAACGAAACGGGUAGCGUGAAUAUCGCUGCCUACUGACGGUACCGGAAGAGUAAGCAC
rnacentral:rRNA from 1 species